rnacentral:rRNA from 1 species
GACGAACGCUGGCGGCGUGCCUAAUACAUGCAAGUCGAACGAGUGGCGGACGGGUGAGUAACCCGUGGGAACCUACCCAUCAGAGGGGGAUAACCCUUGGAAACAGGUGCUAAUACCGCAUAGCUGGAUGGACCCGCGGUGCAUUAGCUAGUUGGGGAGGUAACGGCUCACCAAGGCCACGAUCCCUAGCUGGUCUGAGAGGAUGACCAGCCACACUGGAACUGAGACACGGUCCAGACUCCUACGGGAGGCAGCAGUGGGGAAUAUUGCACAAUGGGCGAAAGCCUGAUGCAGCCAUGCCGCGUGUAUGAAGAAGGCCUUCGGGUUGUAAAGUACUUUCAGCGAGGAGGCGUUACUCGCAGAAGAAGCACCGGCUAACUCCGUGCCAGCCGCCGCGGUAAUAC